ACACUGCUUUUUUUUUUUCUUUUUUUUUUUUUUUUUAAAGCCGACACCGCCGCCGAGCAGCCGGCACGACGGGGCUGUUGGGGGGGGCUCCCCGCGGCGGCUCGGGCCCGGCAGCGCCCGGCGUUCAGCACCACCAUUACAGGAAGUCCCGCCGAGCCCCGCCGCCCCGCACGGCGGGCUGCUCGCCGCCGCCGCCCUCCAUUUUCCAGCCCCAGCAACCUGCCGCGCGGCCCCUGCGCGCCGGGGGCCGGCCCCCGCCAGGCGAAACCGGGAGACGGGGGGCGAGCGCCGGGGGGCGGCUGCGCCCCCGGGACACGGCAGCGCCCGGGGUGGGCUGCCCGCAGGACCGAGGGAAGGAGGGGAGCCGGGCAGCGCAGCGACAGGGGCGGCGAGGGGCUGCCCGUGCCGGCUCCCCCCCCCGGGGCAGGGGCGCCGAGGGGCCACACGCACCUUCCUUCUCCGCGGUCGCUCACUCCCGCGGCGCUGCCAUGCGGCGAGGGGAGCGGCCGGGCCGAGCCGGGCCGGGCCGGGCCGGGCGGGGCUCGGCUCCUAGCGGCGCCCUGCAGCGCGCUCUCCGCAUGCGGCGCGCACCCGCAUGGCUCGGCGGCACGGACGGCACCGGCAGCCGGCGGGGGCCGGUCCCGCGUCCCGGAGCACCGCCCGCCGCCCGGCAGCGGCCAAUGGCCCCCGCGGCGCCGCGCAUGUGAGGGCCGGCCCCGCCCGUGCCGCCCGGCCCCUGCCCUCAGGUGCCGGCGGGGAGCCGGGCCCGGCCGAGCGGGUGCUGAGGUGCUCCCUGGCCCCCGGGGCGGCUGCAAGCCCGCGCUUUCAUUGCUGAGGCGCUCUGUGAAAGUAAAAUUAAAUAAAAUCAAACGUGUGCUUCUCUGGGACCCGACCGGCCGGGUGGCGGGGGUGCGCCACGCACGGCGACGCCACACACGGAAACCAGCGCCUGAGAGGGCGCAGGCACCAAACCAGGCUCGCCCCAAAACCUCCUUACCCUCCUUACACUGCAGGGGCACCCCUCUCCCGAACUCUUCACUGGGUGCUGACAACUGA
rnacentral:lncRNA from 1 species